rnacentral:rRNA from 1 species
UACGGAGGGGGCAAGCGUUGCUCGGAAUCACUGGGCGUAAAGCGUGGGUAGGCGGUGCGCCACGUCGGGGGUGAAAUCCCGGAGCUUAACUCCGGAACUGCCUUCGAUACGGGCGUGCUCGAGUAUGCGAUGGGAAGACGGAAUUUCUGGUGUAGAGGUGAAAUUCGUAGAUAUCAGAAGGAACACCAGCGGCGAAGGCGGUCUUCUGGAGCAUUACUGACGCUAAACCACUAAAGCUGGGGGAGCAAACAGGAUUAGAAACCCUAGUAGU